rnacentral:rRNA from 1 species
GGUGAGUAACACGUAGGUGACCUGCCCCGAAGUGUGGAAUAACAGUCCGAAAGGAUUGCUAAUACCGCAUGUGGUCUGUGAGGUUAGAGUCUUGCAGACUAAAGCAGCAAUGUGCUUCGGGAGGGGCCUGCGCCCCAUCAGCUAGUUGGUAGGGUAAUGGCCUACCAAGGCAACAACGGGUAGGGGGCCUGAGAGGGUGACCCCCCACAUUGGCACUGACACACGGGCCAAACUCCUACGGGAGGCAGCAGUGAGGAAUAUUGCUCAAUGAGCGAAAGCUAGAUGCAGCAACGCCGCGUGGACGAUGAAGGCCUUCGGGUCGUAAAGUCCUUUUCAGGGGGACGAGUGAGGACGGUACCUCUGGAAUAAGUCACGGCUAACUACGUGCCAGCAGCCGCGGUAAAACGUAGGUGGCGAGCGUUAUCCGGAUUCACUGGGCGUAAAGCGCCUGCAGGCGGUCUUGUAAGUGGGGUGUGAAAUCUCCUGUCUUAACUGCGAGGGGUCAUUCCAUACUGCGAGACUGGAGGGCAGAAGAGGGGAGUGGAAUUCCCGGUGUAGUGUUGAAAUGCGUAGAUAUCGGGAGGAACACCAGUGGCGAAGGCGACUCCCUGGUCUGCUCCUGACGCUAAGAGGCGAAAGCUAGGGGAGCGAACGGGAUUAGAAACCCUGGUAGUCCUAGCUAUAAACGAUGGAUACUAGGUGUUGGUGGUCCUAACCCCAUCAGUGCCGAAGCUAACGCGUUAAGUAUCCCGCCUGGAGACUACAGCCGCAAGGUUA